rnacentral:lncRNA from 1 species
CCUCUUGAAGAACAAAGGCUGAGAUGAUCCAAACUCAAAGAUAUGGAGAAACCAAGCUUCAAAAGCUUCAAACUCCAAAACCUUGUUUAAAGCUCACAACUCUUCAAAAGGGUAAAACUCAUUACAACCGUGAAAGAUUUGAAGAAAAACCAUGAAAAUACUUUAAGGAGAUCAAGACCUCACCUAGGUCAGAAGGAGAGAAGAAACCUCCUCCUUUUUCUGUCACUCGGUGCCCUUAUAGAUGAGCAACCGCCUCAGGUUCGGCUGCCGAAUCGCAUGCAAAACUAUGCAACCUUCGGGGGCCGAACAUAACCUUCGGGGGCCGAAACUAGGGAACUUUAGGCGGCCGAACUUAACCUUAGGGGGCCGAACAUGGCAAAAUGCCUCCUUGGCCAUAUCUCUUCAAAACUCAAUCCUUUUCUACGCUAAACCUUUAAAACACUUGAAAAUAUUUUAGAAAACUUUCUCUUACCCUUCCAGAGACCUCUGACAUCCUCGAACUCCC